UACAGAGGUCUCAAGCGUUGUUCGGAUUCAUUGGGCGUAAAGGGUGCGUAGGCGGCGCGGUAAGUCGGGUGCGAAAUCUCGGAGCUUAACUCCGAAACUGCAUUCGAUACUGCCGUGCUUGAGGACUGGAGAGGAGACUGGAAUUUACGGUGUAGCGGUGAAAUGCGUAGAUAUCGUAAGGAAGACCAGUGGCGAAGGCGGGUCUCUGGACAAUACCUGACACUGAGGCACGAAAGCCGGGGGAGCAAACAGG
rnacentral:rRNA from 1 species